rnacentral:rRNA from 1 species
UACGUAGGGUGCAAGCGUUGUCCGGAAUUAUUGGGCGUAAAGCGCGCGCAGGCGGUCCUUUAAGUCUGAUGUGAAAGCCCACGGCUCAACCGUGGAGGGUCAUUGGAAACUGGGGGACUUGAGUACAGAAGAGAAGAGUGGAAUUCCACGUGUAGCGGUGAAAUGCGUAGAGAUGUGGAGGAACACCAGUGGCGAAGGCGACUCUUUGGUCUGUAACUGACGCUGAGGCGCGAAAGCGUGGGGAGCAAACAGG